CAGCAGUCGCCGCGGGAAUACGAAGGGGGCUAGCGUUGCUCGGAAUCACUGGGCGUAAAGGGUGCGUAGGCGGGUCUUUAAGUCAGGGGUGAAAUCCUGGAGCUCAACUCCAGAACUGCCUUUGAUACUGAAGAUCUUGAGUUCGGGAGAGGUAAGUGGAACUGCGAGUGUAGAGGUGAAAUUCGUAGAUAUUCGCAAGAACACCAGAGGCGAAGGCGGCUUACUGGCUCGAAACUGACGCUGAGGCGCGAAAGCGUGGGGAGCAAACAGGAUUAGAUACCCCCGUAGUCCCUGUCUCUUAUAC
rnacentral:rRNA from 1 species